GAUAGUGAUUAUAAAAACUGAACAUUUGCUGGUGUUAAAGACGCGUUCUCUUUGCCUCUUUCAGCUGUUCAAACAAGGUGUGAAUAAAGACAAACAAACUCUGAUCUGGACCAAAUCAGUCCGUUUCCAAACAGGGCUGACAUAAUAAUCAAAUGAACAGAGCAUGGAUCAGAGAGAGCACAGAGAGGACGGAGCCCCUCCCUCUAAAACCACUCACCCCCCCAAAGCUCAGAGACCUGCUCCUGGGACCAGCGCCCACUCAUUCAACAGUGAUCGCUCUAAUGAUGGAGGGAUUGAUUUGAAAAGAGAACAUGGUCCACAG